CUCUUUAGUUGGAGCAGAGAAGGGGGGGAUGGAAGAGGUUCUACUUACUCUACUGUGGAGGUCCUGGCAGCAGAAUGCUUUAUAGAAGAGAAGAACAGCUGCAACUGGCCCAUCUCAGGAUUAAAAAAAAACACACACACAAAAAAAACAGCAAAUGUGAAAAGACACAGGAGGAGCAAGCAGGCCCUGUGUGGCUCAGACAAGUGAGAAGAGAGAGUGUGCUAGGAGGUGUGGUCCUCAGAAUGCUGGAGAUGACUGUGAAGAUUUGACGGUUACUAUCAGGCAUAUGGGAAGCCACUGGAAGCUUCUGAAUAAAGGAAGAUGAUCUGAGUCAUGUUUUAAAAGUGUCAGCUGGGAUCCCUGGGUGGCGCAGCGGUUUGGCGCCUGCCUUUGGCCCAGGACACGAUCCUGGAGACCCGGGAUCGAAUCCCACGUCGGGCUCCCAGUGCAUGGAGCCUGCUUCUCCC